GACGAACGCUGGCGGCGUGCUUAACACAUGCAAGUCGAACGGAAAGGCCCUGCUUGCAGGGUACUCGAGUGGCGAACGGGUGAGUAACACGUGGGUGAUCUGCCCUGCACUUCGGGAUAAGCCUGGGAAACUGGGUCUAAUACCGGAUAGGAGCCAUUUUUAGUGUGAUGGUUGGAAAGUUUUUUCGGUGUAGGAUGAGCUCGCGGCCUAUCAGCUUGUUGGUGGGGUAAUGGCCUACCAAGGCGGCGACGGGUAGCCGGCCUGAGAGGGUGGACGGCCACAUUGGGACUGAGAUACGGCCCAGACUCCUACGGGAGGCAGCAGUGGGGAAUAUUGCACAAUGGGCGCAAGCCUGAUGCAGCGACGCCGCGUGGGGGAUGACGGCCUUCGGGUUGUAAACUCCUUUCGCUAGGGACGAAGCUUUUUGUGACGGUACCUAGAUAAGAAGCACCGGCUAACGACG
rnacentral:rRNA from 1 species